rnacentral:lncRNA from 1 species
UUAAGGACUCGGCCACUCGUCGUCCUCCCUAAUCUUCUCCCCCUCCCUCCUGUCUCUCUCAGAUCUCUUCCCCCCAUCGUGUCCAACCUACCUCCUCCCCGUCCUGAUCCUUCCUCCGCUCGCCCAUCGGCGCCAGGUGAGCCAGAAAUCCGCGAUCCCUCCCUAGGUUAUCUUGCUCCGUCCGCCCGAAUCGCCUGCCCUCGCCGGCUGAUCCGCGCGGGCCCUCUGGUCUCCGUAGCUGCGGUGGUUCCGUCGCUUCGAUCGGAUCCUGUGUUGCGGGUGUGAUUCCGAUCUGAUCUGCGUGGUUUUGCAGGUGUGGGCGCUCUCAGGGGGGGUGGAGCUUGACCUGCCGCGAUGGAUCGCGCCGAGCUCACCACGGAGCAGGUCAGUUCACGCAUUCGGAUACGACUGCCGUCCUGAUUUAGUUUUUGCCGGCCACGAGUGUGCAAUGAAACUUUUGCUGCUAGCGUCGGGGUAAUUGGGAUUUCAAGAUGUGCUGCCGGCGCACAUUACCUGGGCGCGACGUCCCAUGGAAAUAGGACAGUGCGAACGGCUGCCGAAUUCGAGCGAAAAUUGAUGCUUUUGUAAUGUUGUUUGGAAGUGAGCACAUGUUUCAUGGACCUUCUUGACUUUUGGAAUUGAGGGGAGAAAGCGGUUUGAGAAUUUUAAUAGAAGUAGGUCAUGCUGUCUGCUACUCCGAAGUAGCUAAAGGUAGAUUCUGUCGUAUUGGUAUUUCGAAGUAGUUUAGAUUUUCCAUAUCCAUGCAAUCUUUUGUGUUGCAACUUUGGUUGGCGUUUUCUUUGGUCAUGUCAUUGUGCUACUCUAGGAUGCAGUGAAUUGACCUGGUACUGUUCAGACUGCAGCUGUCACGGUUGGUUUCUUGUUAGUGAAUAGAUGCCCUGUUUCUGUGUGAUAAUUUAAGGUAGGGUCUAAUCAUUUAUUAUUCAGUCAAAAGGAUGGACAACUGAUUGUAUGACGGACAAUUUCUGAGCAGGCCCGUAAUACUUGCCGUCUGCUCUUUUAACUAGGAUUGUUUUACCACGAAUUAUCUGCAAGCGAUGCUGAUCUUUGAGUUGCAUCACAUCUGUUAAGAGUAUGUGAGGAUGGU